AACUAUAUAAAUUAUAUACGUGGGCAUAUAUUAUAUAAUUAUGUGUAUAGUUUAUAGUGAGGGUUUGUACCUUUUGCAUAAUGGUUUAACAAAGUUAGUAUAUAUUUGAUUUCACGAAGUAAUAAGAGCUAAUUAUAAUACUGUAUUAGUAGUAUAAAUGUAGCAUAAUAUUUUAUAAUUAUAAUUAGGGGUGAUAGGCCUUUCAAUUAUUAUGAUAGCUUGAUUUUAGGGAAACGUAUUAAGUACAUUGACAAUUUAAAAGUGAUUAGGUUUUUAAAAACUACUAUUACGUAUUAGAAAAAUAACUUGUUUUAACAAAUAGGUUAACAAUAUUAAAAUACUAAUUUACCACAUAUGUAGAAACUACCUUGGAAUAUUUACAAUUAUUAAUGAUAUUUAUAAUGUUAAUAUUAGUAAUAAGCAGGCAUUGUUAAUGAACUCGGCAAUAUAUUUUUCAACUGUUUAUCAAAAACAUAACCGUAUGUAGUAAUAUAUGGCAUUUUCUGCUCAAUGAUUUUUUAAAUAGCCGCAGUACUCUGACUGUGCAAAGGUAGCAUAAUAAUUUGGCUUAUAAUUGGAGUCUUGUAUGAACGAAUACAUGGGGAGUAACUGUAUCAGCAAUGCAUAAUGAAAUUGCUAAUUACGUGCAAAUACGUAUAUUUACUUAAAAGACGAGAAGACCCUAGAAAUUUUUAUUAUUAACAUUAACCGUUUUUGCUGGGGCGGCAUAGUAACAUGAAACUUACAUUAGUGUACAAGGAGUGGUAUUUGCAGAUGGUUUAAAUUACUCUAGGGAUAACAGCAUAAUUUAUUAUAGUUUGUGACCUCGAUGUUGGACUAGGAAGUUGAAGUUUAGAAGAUUUACAAAUGUGCUCUGUUCGAGCAGUUAAUCCUACAUGAUCUGAGUUCAGACCGGCGCGAGCCAGGUCAGUUUCUAUCUUUAAAUAAUAAAAGAUUAGUACGAAAGGAAUAUCAAUUUUACAAUAUGU
rnacentral:rRNA from 1 species